ensembl:misc_RNA
UAGAGAUUGAAUCACUCUGGGUCAGCUGACAAAAUAAGAUUCUGGUGCUGAAAAGCUGAGUGUGAUAAUGAUAUUAA